UCCUGGUAAGAAAACAACAAUGCACCUAGUUAUAACCAAUGUGCAAAAAAUGGCCUCAAAUAACAGGGCAGAAUUCUGAAAUAGAACUGCAGAGAUGACACCCACAGCCACCUUACCCUCCUACCACAAUAUUUUAUUACUAAGGUGCAAUCCCAGUUCUUCAUAACACAUCAGAACUAGAAUGGCAAGCUCAAAACAGAUCCAACUCUUUAAAUAAUUCAGUGUCAAUAUCACAGUCAAUGUCAUUAAACAUGCAGACCGCAUCGCAUAUCACUCAAUCAAGCAUUCAUUUCUAGGGAGAGUAACGAAAUUUGUCCAGAGUGCAUAGAACAAUAUUGGGCAGAAUUCAUAACACUGUAAACAGAACCCACACAUCACACAUACAUGAAUGCCAAUUAGAUAUCACUAGAUUGCCAAUACUCUUAACAGAACAGUUUCAGCCAUAGGACACAAAGGUGACUACCCUUUAUAUAAUAAGAUGUAGCAUCCAUAUAGCACAUACAAAGCCAUCAACCAAGACAGAAUAGAAACAGAGCAGAGAUCGCAAGCAUUCUAUGCUUUAUACAAAACAACAAAUACAGAUCAGCAACUGUAUAGACAAACAGACCAGCUUGCUAGAAACAAAAUUCACAUGAAACCAAGCUGAACAUGAUGCUUGUUCAUACAGUCUGUGCACUACUGCAAUGUCUACAUGGCUAGCACCAUAAGAAACAUUCGACAAGGUCAUCAUAUUUCGCCCUGUUCACCGGUUUAGCAAAACCGAAUACCAGCCCGUGCCCAACCCAGAUGGACCCGUCCACCCGGUUUCUAGCGUGGGUUGGAGCCGGACCAGUGUGACCAUACGAUGGAAGCGGCAGACUGGUUUGGUUUCCGGUCGGACCCGUCAAAACCACGACACGGCAAUAUAUCCAAAGGAAAAACAAGGCGGCGGCGGCGGCUGCGCUUCGGCGGCCAACUGCGGGGGCGGACGGCGGCUGCGGCGGACCGCGGCGGCUGCUGCGUCUGCGUCGGACGGCGGCGACGCCCGGCGGCCGGGACGAAAAUGCCGCGCGACGGUCUCGCUCGAGGCCUCGAGGUGGAGGCUGCGCUCGCGGUCGAGGCAGCGUGGGAAUUGAAGAUUUCACUGAGUUUGAAGGAUAGCAAUUUCUAACAAGGUGCGUUCCUGCAGAGACAUGGCACUCCAAUGUUAGGAUUCCAGCUUCUAUUUUGUGCUUUAGAAAUAUGAUGCUUCUGUUCGUGCCCCCAUCAAGAAGAUGCUUUUCUGCGGGGUGUAAUUAACCUGUUACUUGUUGCAUCCUUACCAGGAAAAAUGGCUGCAAUUUGUGUUUUGUUACAAUGAGUAGCUUGUGUUCUAUCUUGGUGCUUAAUCGACGUGGUUUAUUCAUGAUCUUGUCUGCUCAGUUUUGUUCCGGAUGUCAAUUUGGCAAGGCUAGUGCAAUUAAGAUAGGUCUACAGAUCAGAGUUUGUGCAUGAGUGUUGCAGGUCUCAACAUGGAGACUGAAAAAUUAAUAAGUAAAAGUUCACA